AGACGGCGGCGUGCUAUACAUGCAGUCGAACGAACUUUCUUACACCGAAUGCUUGCAUUCAUCGUAAGAAGUUGAGUGGCGGACGGGUGAGUAACACGUGGGUAACCUGCCUAAAAGAAGGGGAUAACACUUGGAAACAGGUGCUAAUACCGUAUAUCUCUAAGGAUCGCAUGAUCCUUAGAUGAAAGAUGGUUCUGCUAUCGCUUUUAGAUGGACCCGCGGCGUAAUAACUAAUUUGGUGGGGUAACGGCCUACCAAGGUGAUGAUACGUAGCCGAACUGAGAGGUUGAUCGGCCACAUUGGGACUGAGACACGGCCCAAACUCCUACGGGAGGCAGCAGUAGGGAAUCUUCCACAAUGGACGCAAGUCUGAUGGAGCAACGCCGCGUGAGUGAAGAAGGUCUUCGGAUCGUAAAACUCUGUUGUUAGAGAAGAACACGAGUGAGAGUAACUGUUCAUUCGAUGACGGUAUCUAACCAGCAAGUCACGGCUAACUACGUGCCAGCAGCCGCGGUAAUACGUAGGUGGCAAGCGUUGUCCGGAUUUAUUGGGCGUAAAGGGAACGCAGGCGGUCUUUUAAGUCUGAUGUGAAAGCCUUCGGCUUAACCGGAGUAGUGCAUUGGAAACUGGAAGACUUGAGUGCAGAAGAGGAGAGUGGAACUCCAUGUGUAGCGGUGAAAUGCGUAGAUAUAUGGAAGAACACCAGUGGCGAAAGCGGCUCUCUGGUCUGUAACUGACGCUGAGUUCGAAAGCGUGGGUAGCAAACAGGAUUAGAUACCCUGGUAGUCCACGCCGUAACGAUGAUGCUAGUGUUGGGAGGGUUUCCGCCCUUCAGUGCCGCAGCUAACGCAAUAAGCAUUCCGCCUGGGGAGUACGACCGCAAGUUGAAACUCAAGGAAUUGACGGGGGCCCGCACAAGCGUGGAGCAUGGUGGGUUUUAUUUCUAAGCAACGGCGGAAGAAACUUAUCAGUCUUGACAUCCCUUUUGAUCCACCUAAAAAAAUAAAGCUUCCUUUCUCGGACAAAGAUAGACAGAGGGUGCAUGCUGUUCUUCACCUCUGUCUCUGAAAGAAUGGUAAAUUCCGCCACGAACGCAACCACUUUGUCGCUUGCCGCACUUAAUAUAUGAGCAA
rnacentral:rRNA from 2 species